GAUGAACGCUGGCGGCGUGCCUAAUACAUGCAAGUCGAGCGAACAGAUAAGGAGCUUGCUCCUUUGACGUUAGCGGCGGACGGGUGAGUAACACGUGGAUAACCUACCUAUAAGACUGGGAUAACUUCGGGAAACCGGAGCUAAUACCGGAUAACAUAUUGAACCGCAUGGUUCAAUAGUGAAAGGCGGCUUUGCUGUCACUUAUAGAUGGAUCCGCGCCGUAUUAGCUAGUUGGUAAGGUAACGGCUUACCAAGGCAACGAUACGUAGCCGACCUGAGAGGGUGAUCGGCCACACUGGAACUGAGACACGGUCCAGACUCCUACGGGAGGCAGCAGUAGGGAAUCUUCCGCAAUGGGCGAAAGCCUGACGGAGCAACGCCGCGUGAGUGAUGAAGGUCUUCGGAUCGUAAAACUCUGUUAUCAGGGAAGAACAAAUGUGUAAGUAACUAUGCACAUCUUGACGGUACCUGAUCAGAAAGCCACGGCUAACUACGUG
rnacentral:rRNA from 1 species